rnacentral:sRNA from 1 species
GGAAGGUGCUCCUCGAACUGGUUCCGAUAGUUGCUUCGCAACACCUAUCGUCCCAGGUCAGGAGCACUUUUCAGUUCACAACACGGCCGUCGACACCGACACCCGAUGAAAUCUCGAG